AAAUCCAUUUAAUUAUCAAAAUCCAUUUAAUUACCCCAAAAUCCAUUUAAUUAUCAAAAUCCAUUUAAUUAUCCCCAAAAUCCAUUUAAUUAUCCCCAAAUCCAUUUAAUUAUCCCCAAAAUCCAUUUAAUUAUCCCCAAAUCCAUUUAAUUAUCCCAAAAUCCAUUUAAUUAUCCCAAAAUCUCCCCCAAUUACCCCACAAUCUAUUUAAUUACCCCAAAUCCAUUUAAUUAUCCCCAAAAUCCAUUUAAUUACCCCAAAAUCCAUUUAAUUAUCCCCAAAUCCAUUUAAUUACCCCAAAAUCCAUUUAAUUAUCAAAAUCCAUUUAAUUACCCCAAAAUCCAUUUAAUUAUCAAAAUCCAUUUAAUUAUCCCCAAAAUCCAUUUAAUUAUCAAAAUCCAUUUAAUUAUCCCCAAAAUCCAUUUAAUUAUCCCAAAAUCCAUUUAAUUAUCCCCAAAAUCCAUUUAAUUACCCCAAAAUCCAUUUAAUUAUCUCAAAAUUCACAUUAAUUAUCCCAAAAUCUCCUUUAAUUACCCCAAAAUUCCCCGUUUUUAACCCAAAAUCCUCCUCAAUUACCCCAAAAUCCAUUGAAUUACCCUGAAAUUCCCGUUUUUUUCCCCCAAAUUCCCGUUUUUUUGUUAUUUUUAUGAAUUUUCCCAAUUUCCCAUUUUUUUGCCCCAUUCCAGGCCCCCUGGGCCGGGCCGGGUUCGGUUCCGGAGGCUCCGGCUGUCGAUGUUUUAUUGAUUUUCCCAAAUUCCCCUCAUUUUCACCCAAAAUUCCCGGGUUUUUUUAUGAAUUUCCCCAAAUUCCCGUUUUUUGUUAUUUUUAUGAAUUUUCCCAAUUCCGGGUGUUUUUGCCCCAUUCCAGGCCCCCUGGGCCGGGCCGGGUUCGGUUCCGGAGGCUCCGGCGGCCGCGGCGGCUUCAGCGGUGGGGGAGGGGCGCAGCAGCGAGCGGGGGACUGGAAAUGCCCCAACCCGUGAGUGCCAAACUGGGUUAUACUGGGUUAUACUGGUUUAUACUGGGUUAUACUGGGAUUGAUUGGGGUAUACUGGGAUUGACUGGUUUAUACUGGGAUUGACUGGUUUAUACUGGUUUGGGCUGGUUUGGACU
rnacentral:lncRNA from 1 species